GAUAGAAAACAUGAGAUUAGAACAAGAGGGAUAUCCAGGAGAGCAACAUCAGGAUGAGCUCACUGACGUGUGAGAAGAUGAGAGUGAAUGGAGGACAACAGGAAGGAUCAAAGUUGAUUUGGGCCUCAACAGACUAUUCUUCUCUACUGCUUAUAUGGAACUUCACCUGCCGAUGGAAGCCAGGCUACCUAAUCCCCAAUCAUCCCUUAUGAACACGGACAGCUCAUCUAACAGCACUGGCAAAUGAUGUCUUCCUCAUAGGCCUACAUUCUGGUAUUAAGGAAGAGACACAGUUCACUGUGAUUUGGAGGAGAGGGAAACAGAGGAAGACAGAAGUCCACACCAACCCUCAGCGGCUUUCCUUGGCUAAAAAACUGGCUCGAAUGAUA